AGCGGCGGACGGGUGAGUAACGCGUGGGUAACCUGCCCUGUACACACGGAUAACAUACCGAAAGGUAUGCUAAUACGGGAUAAUGUGCUUUUGUCGCAUGGCAAAAGUAUCAAAGCUCCGGCGGUACAGGAUGGACCCGCGUCUGAUUAGCUAGUUGGAGAGGUAAUGGCUCACCAAGGCGACGAUCAGUAGCCGACCUGAGAGGGUGAUCGGCCACAUUGGAACUGAGACACGGUCCAAACUCCUACGGGAGGCAGCAGUGGGGAAUAUUGCACAAUGGGCGAAAGCCUGAUGCAGCAACGCCGCGUGAGCGAUGAAGGCCUUCGGGUCGUAAAGCUCUGUCCUCAAGGAAGAUAAUGACGGUACUUGAGGAGGAAGCCCCGGCUAACUACGUGCCAGCAGCCGCGGUAAUACGUAGGGGGCUAGCGUUAUCCGGAAUUACUGGGCGUAAAGGGUGCGUAGGUGGUUUCUUAAGUCAGAGGUGAAAGGCUACGGCUCAACCGUAGUAAGCCUUUGAAACUGAGAAACUUGAGUGCAGGAGAGGAGAGUAGAAUUCCUAGUGUAGCGGUGAAAUGCGUAGAUAUUAGGAGGAAUACCAGUUGCGAAGGCGGCUCUCUGGACUGUAACUGACACUGAGGCACGAAAGCGUGGGGAGCAAACAGGAUUAGAUACCCUGGUAGUCCACGCCGUAAACGAUGAGUACUAGGUGUCGGGGGUUACCCCCCUCGGUGCCGCAGCUAACGCAUUAA
rnacentral:rRNA from 1 species